UACGUAGGCAGCAAGCGUUGUUCGGAAUUACUGGGCGUAAAGAGUGUGUAGGCGGUGCUCUAAGUUCGGGGUGAAAUCUCCCGGCUCAACUGGGAGGGUGCGCCGGAAACUGGGGUGCUGGAGCGCGGGAGAGGAAAGCGGAAUUCCUGGUGUAGCGGUGAAAUGCGUAGAUAUCAGGAGGAACACCGGCGGUGUAGACGGCUUUCUGGACCGUAGCUGACGCUGAGACACGAAAGCGUGGGUAGCAAACAGG
rnacentral:rRNA from 1 species